UAGGGAAUAUUAGAAAUGGACGAAAGUCUGAUCUAGCAACACCGCGUGUGCGAUGAAGGCCUUCGGGUCGUAAAGCACUUUUUGGAAGGAAUAGGAAGGAAUGUACUUCCAGAAUAAGUCUCGGCUAACUACGUGCCAGCAGCCGCGGUAACACGUAGGAGGCAAACGUUAUCCGGAUUUACUGGGCGUAAAGCGCGUGUAGGUGGUACUGUAAGUAGGGCGUGAAAGCUCCUGGCUCAACUGGGAGAGGCCGUUCUAAACUACAGAACUAGAGGAUGGUAGAGGGAGGUGGAAGUCCAGGUGUAGCGGUGGAAUGCGCAGAUAUCUGGAGGAACACCGGUGGCGAAGGCGGCCUCCUGGACCAUUCCUGACACUCAGACGCGAAAGCUAGGGUAGCAAACG
rnacentral:rRNA from 1 species